rnacentral:rRNA from 1 species
CAAUAGCGUAUAUUUAAGUUGCCGCAGUUAAAAAGCUCGUAGUUGGAUUUCGGGUGGGAAUGGCCGGUCCGCCGUUUCGGUGUGCACUUGCUACGCCCACCUUGCUGCCGGGGACGUGCUCUUGAGUUCACGCUCGGGACACGGAGUCGGCGAGGUUACUUUGAGUAAAUUAGAGUGUUCAAAGCAGGCCUACGCUCUGAAUACAUUAGUAUGGAAUAACACGAUAGGACUCUGGCCUAUCUUGUUGGUCUGUAGGACCGGAGUAAUGAUUAAGAGGGACAGUCGGGGGCAUUCGUAUUUCAUUGUCAGAGGUGAAAUUCUUGGAUUUAUGAAAGACGAACUACUGCGAAAGCAUUUGCCAAGGACGUUUUCAUUAA